GCCGACAUAGCUCAGCGGUAGAGCACCGCUUUCGUAAAGCGGGGGUCCAGGGUUCAAAUCCCUGUGUCGGCU
rnacentral:tRNA from 1 species